GCCCCGGAAGCACUCUGGGAACGUGAGGAUGAACAAGGAGGCAGAGGAGCUGAAGGCAAAGGCAUAGAUCAUCAGGUCUAUGGGAAGGAGCAGCCAUCGGUUUAACAUAGCACUUAACAGCAACGCUGGCGCUUUGGAAGGUGCUUCCUUCCCUCCCUGCCCCAGCUGGUGCCACAGAUGCUAGCUGUCCCUGCCUCGCAGUCAGAGGGGAGCUGCACGACUCGAGGCAGUCGCAGAGAGAGCACGUCAGC
rnacentral:lncRNA from 1 species